rnacentral:tRNA from 2 species
GGCUAGAUAGCUCAGUCGGUAGAGCAGAGGACUGAAAAUCCUUGUGUCGCUGGUUCGAUUCCAGUUCUGGCCA